rnacentral:rRNA from 1 species
GGGUUGUGAGGUUAAGCGACUAAGCGUACACGGUGGAUGCCCUGGCAGUCAGAGGCGAUGAAGGACGUGCUAAUCUGCGAUAAGCGUCGGUAAGGUGAUAUGAACCGUUAUAACCGGCGAUUUCCGAAUGGGGAAACCCAGUGUGUUUCGACACACUAUCAUUAACUGAAUCCAUAGGUUAAUGAGGCGAACCGGGGGAACUGAAACAUCUAAGUACCCCGAGGAAAAGAAAUCAACCGAGAUUCCCCCAGUAGCGGCGAGCGAACGGGGAGCAGCCCAGAGCCUGAAUCAGUGUGUGUGUUAGUGGAAGCGUCUGGAAAGGCGCGCGAUACAGGGUGACAGCCCCGUACACAAAAAUGCACAUGCUGUGAGCUCGAUGAGUAGGGCGGGACACGUGGUAUCCUGUCUGAAUAUGGGGGGACCAUCCUCCAAGGCUAAAUACUCCUGACUGACCGAUAGUGAACCAGUACCGUGAGGGAAAGGCGAAAAGAACCCCGGCGAGGGGAGUGAAAAAGAACCUGAAACCGUGUACGUACAAGCAGUGGGAGCACGCUUAGGCGUGUGACUGCGUACCUUUUGUAUAAUGGGUCAGCGACUUAUAUUCUGUAGCAAGGUUAACCGAAUAGGGGAGCCGAAGGGAAACCGAGUCUUAACUGGGCGUUAAGUUGCAGGGUAUAGACCCGAAACCCGGUGAUCUAGCCAUGGGCAGGUUGAAGGUUGGGUAACACUAACUGGAGGACCGAACCGACUAAUGUUGAAAAAUUAGCGGAUGACUUGUGGCUGGGGGUGAAAGGCCAAUCAAACCGGGAGAUAGCUGGUUCUCCCCGAAAGCUAUUUAGGUAGCGCCUCGUGAAUUCAUCUCCGGGGGUAGAGCACUGUUUCGGCAAGGGGGUCAUCCCGACUUACCAACCCGAUGCAAACUGCGAAUACCGGAGAAUGUUAUCACGGGAGACACACGGCGGGUGCUAACGUCCGUCGUGAAGAGGGAAACAACCCAGACCGCCAGCUAAGGUCCCAAAGUCAUGGUUAAGUGGGAAACGAUGUGGGAAGGCCCAGACAGCCAGGAUGUUGGCUUAGAAGCAGCCAUCAUUUAAAGAAAGCGUAAUAGCUCACUGGUCGAGUCGGCCUGCGCGGAAGAUGUAACGGGGCUAAACCAUGCACCGAAGCUGCGGCAGCGACGCUGAUGCGUUGUUGGGUAGGGGAGCGUUCUGUAAGCCUGCGAAGGUGUGCUGUGAGGCAUGCUGGAGGUAUCAGAAGUGCGAAUGCUGACAUAAGUAACGAUAAAGCGGGUGAAAAGCCCGCUCGCCGGAAGACCAAGGGUUCCUGUCCAACGUUAAUCGGGGCAGGGUGAGUCGACCCCUAAGGCGAGGCCGAAAGGCGUAGUCGAUGGGAAACAGGUUAAUAUUCCUGUACUUGGUGUUACUGCGAAGGGGGGACGGAGAAGGCUAUGUUGGCCGGGCGACGGUUGUCCCGGUUUAAGCGUGUAGGCUGGUUUUCCAGGCAAAUCCGGAAAAUCAAGGCUGAGGCGUGAUGACGAGGCACUACGGUGCUGAAGCAACAAAUGCCCUGCUUCCAGGAAAAGCCUCUAAGCAUCAGGUAACAUCAAAUCGUACCCCAAACCGACACAGGUGGUCAGGUAGAGAAUACCAAGGCGCUUGAGAGAACUCGGGUGAAGGAACUAGGCAAAAUGGUGCCGUAACUUCGGGAGAAGGCACGCUGAUAUGUAGGUGAAGUCCCUUGCGGAUGGAGCUGAAAUCAGUCGAAGAUACCAGCUGGCUGCAACUGUUUAUUAAAAACACAGCACUGUGCAAACACGAAAGUGGACGUAUACGGUGUGACGCCUGCCCGGUGCCGGAAGGUUAAUUGAUGGGGUCAGCGCAAGCGAAGCUCUUGAUCGAAGCCCCGGUAAACGGCGGCCGUAACUAUAACGGUCCUAAGGUAGCGAAAUUCCUUGUCGGGUAAGUUCCGACCUGCACGAAUGGCGUAAUGAUGGCCAGGCUGUCUCCACCCGAGACUCAGUGAAAUUGAACUCGCUGUGAAGAUGCAGUGUACCCGCGGCAAGACGGAAAGACCCCGUGAACCUUUACUAUAGCUUGACACUGAACAUUGAGCCUUGAUGUGUAGGAUAGGUGGGAGGCUUUGAAGUGUGGACGCCAGUCUGCAUGGAGCCGACCUUGAAAUACCACCCUUUAAUGUUUGAUGUUCUAACGUGGACCCGUGAUCCGGGUUGCGGACAGUGUCUGGUGGGUAGUUUGACUGGGGCGGUCUCCUCCUAAAGAGUAACGGAGGAGCACGAAGGUUGGCUAAUCCUGGUCGGACAUCAGGAGGUUAGUGCAAUGGCAUAAGCCAGCUUGACUGCGAGCGUGACGGCGCGAGCAGGUGCGAAAGCAGGUCAUAGUGAUCCGGUGGUUCUGAAUGGAAGGGCCAUCGCUCAACGGAUAAAAGGUACUCCGGGGAUAACAGGCUGAUACCGCCCAAGAGUUCAUAUCGACGGCGGUGUUUGGCACCUCGAUGUCGGCUCAUCACAUCCUGGGGCUGAAGUAGGUCCCAAGGGUAUGGCUGUUCGCCAUUUAAAGUGGUACGCGAGCUGGGUUUAGAACGUCGUGAGACAGUUCGGUCCCUAUCUGCCGUGGGCGCUGGAGAACUGAGGGGGGCUGCUCCUAGUACGAGAGGACCGGAGUGGACGCAUCACUGGUGUUCGGGUUGUCAUGCCAAUGGCACUGCCCGGUAGCUAAAUGCGGAAGAGAUAAGUGCUGAAAGCAUCUAAGCACGAAACUUGCCCCGAGAUGAGUUCUCCCUGACUCCUUGAGAGUCCUGAAGGAACGUUGAAGACGACGACGUUGAUAGGCCGGGUGUGUAAGCGCAGCGAUGCGUUGAGCUAACCGGUACUAAUGAACCGUGAGGCUUAACCUUACAACGCCGAAGGUGUUU